UCCAUUGUUCCAGGGAAAACCAUCCAAGUCUAUCCACCCUCUCCCUGUGGCUGAAACCUAAUUCAGGCAGCUUUCUGGUAAACCUCCUCUGCACCCUUUCCAAAGCUUUCACAUCUUUCCUGAAAUGGGGUGACCAGAACUGCAUGC